UACGGAGGGAGCUAGCGUUGUUCGGAUUUACUGGGCGUAAAGCGCACGUAGGCGGCGCCGUAAGUCAGGGGUGAAAUCCCGGGGCUCAACCUCGGAACUGCCUUUGAUACUGCAAGUCUCGAGUCCGGAAGAGGUGAGUGGAAUUCCUGGUGUAGCGGUGAAAUGCGCAGAUAUCAGGAAGAACACCCGUGGCGAAGGCGGCUCUCUGGGACGGUACUGACGCUGAGACGCGAAAGCGUGGGGAGCGAACAGG
rnacentral:rRNA from 1 species